rnacentral:rRNA from 1 species
UACAUGCAAGUCGAGCGGACAGAUGGGAGCUUGCUCCCUGAUGUUAGCGGCGGACGGGUGAGUAACACGUGGGUAACCUGCCUGUAAGACUGGGAUAACUCCGGGAAACCGGGGCUAAUACCGGAUGCUUGAUUGAACCGCAUGGUUCAAUUAUAAAAGGUGGCUUUUAGCUACCACUUACAGAUGGACCCGCGGCGCAUUAGCUAGUUGGUGAGGUAACGGCUCACCAAGGCAACGAUGCGUAGCCGACCUGAAAGGGUGAUCGGCCACACUGGAACUGAAACACGGCCCAAACUCCUACGGAAGGCAGCAGUAGGGAAUCUUCCGCAAUGGACGAAAGUCUGACGAAGCAACGCCGCGUGAGUGAUGAAGGUUUUCGGAUCGUAAAACUCUGUUGUUAGGAAAAAACAAGUACCGUUCAAAUAGGGCGGUACCUUGACGGUACCUAACCAAAAAGCCACGGCUAACUACGUGCCAGCAGCCGCGGUAAUACGUAGGUGGCAAGCGUUGUCCGGAAUUAUUGGGCGUAAAGCGCGCGCAGGCGGUUUCUUAAGUCUGAUGUGAAAGCCCCCGGCUCAACCGGGAAGGGUCAUU